GCCACACUGGACUGAGACACGGCCAGACUCUACGGGAGGCAGCAGUGGGAAUAUGCACAAUGGGGGAAACCUGAUGCAGCGACGCAGCGUGCGGGAUGACGGCCUUCGGGUUGUAAACCGCUUUCAGCAGGGAAGAAGCCUUUCGGGGUGACGGUACNUGCAGAAGAAGUACCGGCUAACUACGUGCCAGCAGCCGCGGUAAUACGUAGGGUACAAGCGUUGUCCGGAAUUAUUGGGCGUAAAGAGCUCGUAGGUGGUUGGUCACGUCUGCUGUGGAAACGCAACGCUUAACGUUGCGCGUGCAGUGGGUACGGGCUGACUAGAGUGCAGUAGGGGAGUCUGGAAUUCCUGGUGUAGCGGUGAAAUGCGCAGAUAUCAGGAGGAACACCGGUGGCGAAGGCGGGACUCUGGGCUGUAACUGACACUGAGGAGCGAAAGCAUGGGGAGCGAACAGGAUUAGAUACCCUGGUAGUCCAUGCCGUAAACGUUGGGCACUAGGUGUGGGGGACAUUCCACGUUCUCCGCGCCGUAGCUAACGCAUUAAGUGCCCCGCCUGGGGAGUACGGUCGCAAGGCUAAAACUCAAAGGAAUUGACGGGGGCCCGCACAAGCGGCGGAGCAUGCGGAUUAAUACGAUGCAACGCGAAGAACCUUACCAAGGCUUGACAUACACCAGACCGUUCUGGAAACAGUUCCUCCCCUUUGGGGUUGGUGUACAGGUGGUGCAUGGUUGUCGUCAGCUCGUGUCGUGAGAUGUUGGGUUAAGUCCCGCAACGAGCGCAACCCUCGUUCUAUGUUGCCAGCACGUAAUGGUGGGAACUCAUAGGAGACUGCCGGGGUCAACUCGGAGGAAGGUGGGGAUGACGUCAAAUCAUCAUGCCCUUUAUGUCUUGGGCUUCACGCAUGCUACAAUGGCUGGUACAGAGAGAUGCGAGACCGCGAGGUUUUAGCGAAUCCCUUAAAGCCAGUCUCAGUUCGGAUCGUAGUCUGCAAUUCGACUACGUGAAGUCGGAGUCGCUAGUAAUCGCAGAUCAG
rnacentral:rRNA from 1 species